rnacentral:rRNA from 1 species
GAAUUUCGGUUAUCGAUGGGGAUGCGUUCCAUUAGGCAGUUGGCGGGGUAACGGNNCACCAANCCUUCGAUGGAUAGGGGUUCUGAGAGGAAGGUCCCCCACAUUGGAACUGAGACACGGUCCAAACUCCUACGGGAGGCAGCAGUGAGGAAUAUUGGUCAAUGGGCGAGAGCCUGAACCAGCCAAGUAGCGUGAAGGAUGACUGCCCUAUGGGUUGUAAACUUCUUUUAUAAGGGAAUAAAGUGNUCCACGUGUGGCAUUUUGUAUGUACCUUAUGAAUAAGGAUCGGCUAACUCCGUGCCAGCAGCCGCGGUAAUACGGAGGAUCCGAGCGUUAUCCGGAUUUAUUGGGUUUAAAGGGAGCGUAGGUGGACUGUUAAGUCAGUUGUGAAAGUUUGCGGCUCAACCGUAAAAUUGCAGUUGAUACUGGCWGUCUUGAGUACAGUAGAGGYGGGCGGAAUUCGUGGUGUAGCGGUGAAAUGCUUAGAUAUCACGAAGAACUCCGAUUGCGAAGGCAGCUCRCURGACUGCAACUGACACUGAUGCUCGAAAGUGUGGGUAUCAAACAGGAUUAGAUACCCUGGUAGUCCACACAGUAAACGAUGAAUACUCGCUGUUUGCGAUAUACWGUAAGCGGCCAAGCGAAAGCGUUAAGUAUUCCACCUGGGGAGUACGCCGGCAACGGUGAAACUCAAAGGAAUUGACGGGGGCCCGCACAAGCGGAGGAACAUGUGGUUUAAUUCGAUGAUACGCGAGGAACCUUACCCGGGCUUAAAUUGCAUUUGAAUAAUCUGGAAACAGGUUAGCCGUAAGGCAAAUGUGAAGGUGCUGCAUGGGUGUCGUCACCUCGUGCCGUGAGGUGUCNGCUUAANUGCCAUAACGAGCGCAACCCUUAUCUUUANUUA